rnacentral:rRNA from 1 species
AUUGAACGCUGGCGGCAGGCCUAACACAUGCAAGUCGAGCGGAGCGGCGGACGGGUGAGUAAUGCCUAGGAAUCUGCCUGGUAGUGGGGGAUAACGUCCGGAAACGGUCCCUAAUACCGCAUACUAUCAGAUGACCCUAGGUCGGAUGAGCUAGUUGGUGGGGUAAAGGCCUACCAAGGCGACGACCCGUAGCUGCCCCGAGAGGAUGAUCAGUCACACUGGAACUGAGACACGGUCCAGACUCCUACGGGAGGCAGCAGUGGGGAAGAUUGGACAAUGGGCGAAAGCCUGACCCAGCAAUGCCGCGUGUGUGAAGAAGGUCUUCGGAUUGUAAAGCACUUUAGGUUGGGAGGCGGUACCAAAAGAAAAAGCACCGGCUAACUUCGUGCCAGCAGCCGCGGUAAUUC